rnacentral:lncRNA from 1 species
UGCACAUUAUACAGAUGAUGUCAUGUCUGUCUCAAGGUAUCCCUUCCACAGACACAUGCAGUUCAUCUCCUGGCUGGUAAUUUAAUUCUCAUCAGUUGGUCAAGCUAUAAAUGCAACAGUAGCAAAUGAAUGAAGGAACUCUUUUGGACAAAUCUGGCAAUGAGUCCUGUUAGAGGAAAAUUGGCCUUUUUAUUUCAGCCUUUCCACCGCGGAGCUAUUCACUUCCUCUGCCCCAGCUACUGAGCCAGGACAUAUUAAAAAUGAGCCAGUGGCACAUGUCUGCAAUCCCAACACUUGGGAGGCUGAAGCAGGAGGAUCACCGUGAGUUUGAGGCCAGCCUGAACUACACAGCAAGCCCUUGUCUCAAAAAAAAACCUCAAAUAGAUAGACAGACAGACAGACAGAUAGAUGGAUGACAUAUUCUG